UGGAUUUCUGCCAAAUUAUCAAAUAGACCAAGUAGUCUCAUUUUCUGUUAAUAUAUUUUGGUUUGGGGCUAGGAUUUUUAUGAAAACCCACCUUAAUUUGAAGGUGUGGUUCUAAUAAUGAAGAUUUCAGCUAACAACAGGUCAGCAAGGGCACAUCUCAUUUUUCACAGAGCAUUGGAGAGUCCAGUAUCCCCUGGUUAAGACUUUCAUUGCUUUUCCAUUUUGUGAAGACAGACCUAACACAUCACCCUGGAAGGAGUCUUCAAUAAUGAUAAUCGAUAGGUAGAAUUUUUUGAACACUUGCCAUCUGCUAGGCACUCUACUAGGACUUUAAAAUUACCAACUCAUUCAAUCCUUAUGAUGAACCCAGGAGUUAGAUAUAACUAUAAUCCCAAUUUCACAGAGGUGCAAAUUAAGACCCAGACAGAUGUAAUAGCCCACCUAAGUCAUAUUGGAAGUGGGGGAGCUUGGAUUCAAAUCCAGACUGCCUGGAUUUCCAGAGCACAUACUCAUAGGCGAAGUGGCCUCUUUAAUAAUAGUGGCUAUCCUUGAUUGAGAGUCUAUUUAUGCAAAACUAGCACCUAUCAUGUGUUUACAUAGUUUACAUAAGCAUAUUAUAUACACUUUCUCAUUUCUCACAACAACCUUAUGAGGUAAUUACAAUUCUUAUCCUCCUUUUACAGUUAAAGAAACAAAAGCACAGAGAGGUUAAGUGACUUGGCCCUGGAUUGCAGAGCUUGUGUAGGGUGAACUCAGGCUUACCAGGGCUCUGAACUCGGGGUCUUUCCUUAAGUCAUUCUGUAUCUCUUGAGAUCAGUUCUUUUUAAACUCUUCAUUUUAGAGACGAGAUUCAACAGGAAUAGGAUGAAGAAAAGCUCAGUGAGGGUGAUUACAUGUUAGGAAAUCUGUGAGGUAAGGGUCAUUGUCCUCUUUUUAUAUACAUUGGUUAUCAUACAUACUAAAGUGCUGUAACCAAGAGGCCCCCAAAUGCAGUGACUUAAACAAGAUGGAAGCUUAUUUCUCUUUUGUGUAACUGGCAGUUUGGUGGUCUGAGGCUGGCUUCCAUUUGUGGAUUCAAGGCAGCUGUUCUACUUCUUGUAAUUUCUUAGCCAGGAGAAAGGCAAUGUGGAGGGAAAACAGCCUGCUUUACAUAUACCACACAGUUUCUCCUACUUCAAUUACAUUGGUCAGAAUAUGGUCACAUGGCACCUAAGCUGCAAGGCAGGCUGGGAAAUGUCUAUAGGGGUGGCCAUAAGCUCUGGGAAAGGAAGGAGGGAGUAAUGGAUCUUGGGAGCUGUCAGCAGUCUCUGCCACAUCACAGGUGAGGACAUGGAGACUCAGGGGGUAAAUAUUUGCCCAAUGCCACAUAGUUCAUGGCAAACAUGGAACAAGCACAUUUUGAAGAGGAAUAGAUGUGGGAGAAGUGUCAGUAUGUGGGGCAAUAGCUUGACAGGCCAGACAGGGAGGCAGAGAAAGCACAUUGCAAAGCGAUGAGUGGCAAAAACAUGCCAUGGUGAAAGAAUCAGGGACCUGGAAGAGCCAAUCUCAGAGGGGGAUCUUGGCAGCACCUCCCAGCAUCCACUCGAUCAACGCACUGCACUGCCUGCUCUUCCUCGUCAUAGAGUCUGUGUCUCGAAGACUUUGGGCUCCGCGACAGCUCCCUUUUUCAAGUCUCAAAUAUGCCUGGAUUGGUGGGGAGGGGUAUCUACAGCUUAGAUUUCAUUAUCAGUUAAUUAGCAGCUGGUUUAACUGUCAGCCCCUCCUGGGGUCUUUUGCUAGCAUCAGAGAACACUAAUGGGACAGACGACAUCAAGACUGGAUGGGACAAGUGACAAGAGGUCUACCAUGAAGCAGAAGGAGAAGCUGAGAGGGAGGGAAAGUCACAUUCCUCUUUUCCUCCCUGAGCUCAAGGCAGAUUCUGCCUGGGGUGAGGGUAGGAGAGAACAGGGCAAUGUGGGGGUUUUAAGUCAGACUUUGCCAACCUCACAAUUUUGCCCAAGGCCAAUCCUACCUCAGACAUCCCCUCUUCCUCUUGUUUGAACUUCUAAUUUUCUGUUUGCCAAGAUGGCUGCCUGUUCAGAUGAAUGAAAGAUCACAGUUUGAUCUGACCCAGAGUUUGGUUCUUUU
rnacentral:lncRNA from 1 species